rnacentral:lncRNA from 1 species
UGACUCUGUUGUCUUGGAGAGCGUUGAAGCUGACUUAGGUUUUCAGAGUUUUCUUGAUCAUCAACACGAUGACCUGUUCUUAAGGGAACCAAUCUGAUUCUCAAAACAAGAGGAAUUUUGAAUGCCUCUGCAUCCGCUUUGAUAUAAUGAGAUAACUAGGAGGAAAAUCUUUAAACCAAAUUCUUUCGACUUGCUUUUGAACUCGCAA